CAACCUCAACUCAUAUGGGACUACCCCUGAAUUUAAGCAUAUUAAUUAGGGGAGGAAAAGAAACUAACAAGGAUUUUCUUAGUAGCGGCGAGCGAAAAGAAAAUAGUUCAGCACUAAGUCACUUUGUCUUUAUGGCAAAUGUGAGAUGCAGUGUAUGGAGCAUCAAUAUUCUAGUAUGAGAAAUUAAUGAUUUAAGUCCUUCUUAAAUGAGGCCAUUUACCCAUAGAGGGUGCCAGGCCCGUAUAACGUUAAUGAUUACUAGAUGGUGUUUCCAAAGAGUCGUGUUGCUUGAUAGUGCAGCACUAAGUGGGUGGUAAACUCCAUCUAAAACUAAAUAUAACCAUGAGACCGAUAGUAAACAAGUACCGUGAGGGAAAGUUGAAAAGAACUCUGAAUAGAGAGUUAAAUAGUACGUGAAACUGCUUAGAGGUUAAGCCCGAUGAACCUGAAUAUCCAUUAUGGAAAAUUCAUCAUUAGAGUUUUAAUAUUUUAAUAAUAUUAUAAUAAUAGUGUGCAUUUUUUCCAUAUAAGGACAUUGUAAUCUAUUAACAUAAACCAAAUUUAUCAUAAAAUAUGACUUAUAGUUUAUUUAAAUUAUUUUGCUUGCAUUUUAACAUAGAAUAAAUGUCAUUAAUUUGAUAAAGUGUUGAUAGAUUUAUAUGAAUACAGUGCGUUAAUUUUUCGGAAUUAUAUAAUAGCAUGAUUAUCAUUGAUUUUCUGUGUUUAUUAUAUGCACUUGUAUGAUUAACAAUGCGAAAGAUUCAGGAUACCUUCGGGACCCGUCUUGAAACACGGACCAAGGAGUCUAACAUAUGUGCAAGUUAUUGGGAUAUAAACCUAAUAGCAUAAUUAACUUGACUAAUAAUGGGAUUAGUUUUUUAACUAUUUAUAGAUAAUUAACACAAUCCCGGGGCGUUCUAUAUAGUUAUGUAUAAUGAUAUUUAUAUUAUUUAUACCUCUAACUGGAACGUACCUUGAGCAUAUAUGCUGUGACCCGAAAGAUGGUGAACUAUACUUGAUCAGGUUGAAGUCAGGGGAAACCCUGAUGGAAGACCGAAACAGUUCUGACGUGCAAAUCGAUUGUCAGAAUUGAGUAUAGGGGCGAAAGACCAAUCGAACCAUCUAGUAGCUGGUUCCUUCCGAAGUUUCCCUCAGGAUAGCUGGUGCAUUUAAAUGUUAUAUAAAAUAAUCUUAUCUGGUAAAGCGAAUGAUUAGAGGCCUUAGGGUCGAAACGAUCUUAACCUAUUCUCAAACUUUAAAUGGGUAAGAACCUUAACUUUCUUGAUAUGAAGUUUAAGGUUAUGAUAUAUUGUGCCCAGUGGGCCACUUUUGGUAAGCAGAACUGGCGCUGUGGGAUGAACCAAACGUAAUGUUACGGUGCCCAAAUUAACAACUCAUACAGAAACCAUGAAAGGCGUUGGUUGCUUAAAACAGCAGGACGGUGAUCAUGGAAGUCGAAAUCCGCUAAGGAGUGUGUAACAACUCACCUGCCGAAGCAACUAGCCCUUAAAAUGGAUGGCGCUUAAGUUGUAUACCUAUACAUUACCGCUAAAGUAGAUGAUUUAUAUUAUUUAUAAUAUAAAUUUUGAAACUUUAGUGAGUAGGAAGGUACAAUGGUGUGCUUAGAAGUGUUUGGCGUAAGCCUGCAUGGAGCCGCCAUUGGUACAGAUCUUGGUGGUAGUAGCAAAUAAUCGAAUGAGACCUUGGAGGACUGAAGUGGAGAAGGGUUUCGUGUGAACAGUGGUUGAUCACGAGUUAGUCGGUCCUAAGUUCAAGGCGAAAGCCGAAAAUUUUCAAGUUUUAAAAAUGUCAAAUGAAAUAAUAAAUAAUAAAACACUUGAAUAAUUUUGAACGAAAGGGAAUACGGUUCCAAUUCCGUAACCUGUUGAGUAUCCGUUUGUUAUUAAAUAUGGGCCUCGUGCUCAUCCUGGCAACAGGAACGACCAUAAAGAAGCCGUCGAGAGGUAUCGGAAGAGUUUUCUUUUCUGUUUUAUAGCCGUACUACCAUGGAAGUCUUUCGCAGAGAGAUAUGGUAGAUGGGCUAGAAGAGCAUGACAUAUACUGUUGUGUCGAUAUUUUCUCCUCGGACCUUGAAAAUUUAUGGUGGGGAUACGCAAACUUCUCAACAGGCCGUACCAAUAUCCGCAGCUGGUCUCCAAGGUGAAGAGUCUCUAGUCGAUAGAAUAAUGUAGGUAAGGGAAGUCGGCAAAUUAGAUCCGUAACUUCGGGAUAAGGAUUGGCUCUGAAGAUUGAGAUAGUCGGGCUUGAUUGGGAAACAAUAACAUGGUUUAUGUGCUCGUUCUGGGUAAAUAGAGUUUCUAUCAUUUAUGAUAGUUAUUUGUUCCCCGGAUAGUUAGUUACGUAGCCAAUUGUGGAACUUUCUUGCUAAAAUUUUUAAGAAUACUAAUUUUUAAUUAGUUCUUUUAAAUUAUAACGAUUAUCAAUUAACAAUCAAUUCAGAACUGGCACGGACUUGGGGAAUCCGACUGUCUAAUUAAAACAAAGCAUUGUGAUGGCCCUAGCGGGUGUUGACACAAUGUGAUUUCUGCCCAGUGCUCUGAAUGUCAAAGUGAAGAAAUUCAAGUAAGCGCGGGUCAACGGCGGGAGUAACUAUGACUCUCUUAGGCCAAAUGUCUUGCCUGUAAUCUAAUGUAAGUCGAUCAGUCGACUCGAACUCUGGUGUUUCUGGUGCUGUGAUUCCUAGUCCUAGUUCUUCAGUAGCUAAUUCGAGCGGCAAGCAACCUUGGGUUACGGCUUGAGCAAGAAGCGUUGGAAGAAUCAUAAUAUAGUCUGGAGCAAUACUAUCCUUAGCGACUUAGUCUGGAGACAAGAGAGAGCUAUAGCAGUGUAAAUCUGGGAGAAUUCCUGUGAUAUCGCCCUUAAUACUAUACUCGUGUUCCUUACUUACAAAAUGGAACUGUAUCAUUUCAGCAUUAACGGAUAAUUAUAUAUCUUAUGGUAUGGGUUUUGAUGCAAGCUUUUGAUCAAAGUAUCACGAGUUUUUAUAUAAUCGAAACAAUUCUUUAUGAGAGAGUGCAUUAUGUAUUUAAUUGAAAUAUUGGUAUAACUCCAAUUACUCAGGUAUGAUCCAAUUCAAGGACUUGCCAGUAAGUUUGACUCGGCGGACACCCAAAUAAUAACGGAGGGCCAAGCCAGCUCCAGUCGGACAGAAACCACACAUAGAGCAAAAGGGCAAUGCUGACUUGAUCUCCGGUGUUCAGUACACACAGGGACAGCAAAAGCUCGCCUAUCGAUCCUUUUGGUUUAAAGAGUUUUUAACAAGAGGUGUCAGAAAAGUUACCAUAGGGAUAACUGGCUUGUGGCGGCCAAGCGUUCAUAGCGACGUCGCUUUUUGAUCCUUCGAUGUCGGCUCUUCCUAUCAUUGUGAAGCAAAAUUCACCAAGCGUUGGAUUGUUCACCCAUGCAAGGGAACGUGAGCUGGGUUUAGACCGUCGUGAGACAGGUUAGUUUUACCCUACUAAUGACAAAACGUUGUUGCGACAGCAUUCCUGCGUAGUACGAGAGGAACCGCAGGUACGGACCAAUGGCACAAUACUUGUUCGAGCGAACAGUGGUAUGACGCUACGUCCGUUGGAUUAUGCCUGAACGCCUCUAAGGUCGUAUCCGUGCUGGACUGCAAUGAUAAAUAAGGGGCAAUUUGCAUUGUAUGGCUUCUAAACCAUUAAAAGUUUAUUUUAUAAACGACAAUGGAUGUGAUGCCAAUGUUAUUUGUAACAUAGUAAAUUGGGAGGAUCUUCGAUCACCUGAUGCCGCGCUAGUUACUUAUUAAAACAUUAUUUAAUACAAUGACAAAGCCUAGAAUCAAUUGUAAACGACUUUUGUAACAGGCAAGGUGUUGUAAGUGGUUGAGCAGCUGCCAUACUGCGAUCCACUGAAGCUUAUCCUUUGCUUGAUGAUUCGA